rnacentral:rRNA from 1 species
GACGAACGCUGGCGGCGUGCUUAACACAUGCAAGUCGAACGGAAAGGCCCUGCUUUUGUGGGGUGCUCGAUUGGCGAACGGGUGAGUAACACGUGAGUAACCUGCCCUUGACUUUGGGAUAACUUCAGGAAACUGGGGCUAAUACCGGAUAGGAGCUCCUGCUGCAUGGUGGGGGUUGGAACGUUUCGGCGGUUGGGGAUGGACUCGCGGCUUAUCAGCUUGUUGGUUGGGUAGUGGCUUACCAAGGCUUUGACGGGUAGCCGGCCUGAGAGGGUGACCGGCCACAUUGGGACUGAGAUACGGACCAGACGCCUACGGGAGGCAGCAGUGGGGAAUAUUGCACAAUGGGCGGAAGCCUGAUGCAGAAACGCCGCGUGCGGGAUGACGGCCUUCGGGUUGUAAACCGCUUUCGCCUGUGACGAAGCGUGAGUGACGGUAAUGGGUAAAGAAGCACCGGCUAACUACGUG